rnacentral:rRNA from 1 species
UACGUAGGUGGCAAACGUUGUCCGGAUUUAUUGGGUUUAAAGGGUGCGUAGGCGGCUUUGUAAGUCAGUGGUGAAAUAUGGCAGCUCAACUGUCAGGGUGCCAUUGAUACUGCGGAGCUUGAGUACAGAUGAGGUAGGCGGAAUUGACGGUGUAGCGGUGAAAUGCUUAGAUAUCGUCAAGAACACCGAUAGCGAAGGCAGCUUACUGGGCUGUAACUGACGCUGAGGCACGAAAGUGUGGGGAUCAAACAGG